rnacentral:rRNA from 1 species
CAGCCGCCGCGGUAAUACAGAGGGUGCGAGCGUUAAUCGGAUUUACUGGGCGUAAAGCGUGCGUAGGCGGCUUCUUAAGUCGGAUGUGAAAUCCCUGAGCUUAACUUGGGAAUUGCAUUCGAUACUGGUUAGCUAGAGUGUGGGAGAGGAUGGUAGAAUUCCAGGUGUAGCGGUGAAAUGCGUAGAGAUCUGGAGGAAUACCGAUGGCGAAGGCAGCCAUCUGGCCUAACACUGACGCUGAGGUACGAAAGCAUGGGGAGCAAACAGGAUUAGAUACCCCCGUAGUCCCUGUCUCUUAUAU